GGGUUGAUGGCCUCCCAACCGGAAGAGGCCAUAGGGAGCUCCUCUGCAGCUGAGGAGAAAAGCCUGAGGAAUCCCUCACUUCAAAUGAGAAAAUGAGAAACUGCAAACCUGUGAAGAAAAGCACCACCCGAAUAAGGCUGUAUCCGUGCCAGCAGUGAGUCUGUUUAAUGACAAUGCAAUAUCACAUUUCCACACAGUCCUCAAAAGAAGGCAAGAGUCAGUGUCAUUGGAUAGGCUCCUUGUUAAAGUUCCAUGAAGAGAAAAAGAUUCUGUGGAGCCGGUAGGUAGUAGUGAUCCCGUUAGUGAUAGUGAAGUCCUCCCACGCAGUAGCCCUCCUCUCUUAUCUCCUUCACACCUGCCACGAAGGGUUUCAAAGUUCUUAUUUUUGAAAAAUCCUUCACUUACUGGCUUUGUGGAGCAUUUUUGCCUGGAUACUUUUGCUGAGAAGAUUGCUUACAGACCGUGUGAGUGGCAGAGAGAUAUGGCUGACUGACUGCCCUAGACGAACUGCUCCCUCAGCCUUUUCUGACACUUGGAGCUCUGCAAAUGUAACAUGCAAUUUUGGUGCCAAUGACAGAAGCCUUCCAGAAAACAAAACAACAAGAACUUGGACUGAGGCUGUAGCUCAGUGGCAGAGAACUUUGCUAGCACGCACAAGGCCCUGGGUUAGAUUCCAACAUUGAAAAAGGAAAAAAAAAUCAAGAACCCAAUCAAACCAUAAUACUUUCAGAAAUUUAGUAGCACUCGAUUAAUGAAAAGGUAAGAUUCUAUAACUACA
rnacentral:lncRNA from 1 species